rnacentral:rRNA from 1 species
UAUGUGAUCGUCUCUCGCAUAUCAAUAAGCGGAGGAAAAGAAACUAACAAGGAUUCCCCUAGUAACGGCGAGUGGAGCGGGAAGAGCUCAAAUUUGAAAUCUUAAAGGGUUUCCCUUUACGAAUUGUAGUUUAAAGAAGUGUUUUCUGUUGAGGUUUUGGUAAAAGUUCUUUGGAAUAGGACAUCAUAGAGGGUGAGAAUCCCGUAUUUGACCUUUACUUUCAACUUUGUGAUACACUUUCAAAGAGUCGGAUUGUUUGGGAAUGCAGUCCAAAAUGGGUAGUAAAUUUCAUCUAAAGCUAAAUAUUGGCGAGAGACCGAUAGCGAACAAGUACCGUGAGGGAAAGACUGAAAAGAACUUUGAAAAGAGAGUUAAACAGUACGUGAAAUUGUCAAAAGGGAAGCGUUUGACACCAGUGUUGUUUUUCUGAAAAUCAAUUAAAGAACUGUUUAUGCUAAGCUGUUUAGACUUUAUCAGCUAUCUGUUUAGUUUUGAGCUUUUCUUUAAUGCACUUUUCAGUUAACAAGUCAACAUCAAUUUCUUUUGCUGUAAAAAAGCUUGAGGAAGGUGGCUUGAGAUUCGUCUUAAGUGUUUAUAGCCUCUUGCCUAUGCAGUCGGAGAGAUUGAGGUCUGCAGCGUAGAUCCUUCGGGGCUAAAUGCAUUUGUGCUAAGUUAUAGCAUUUUAUAGACAACUUGUUGACUAUGAUUUGUCUUGUAGCUUACUCGCUUAUGUUAUUUUACCUACGCUUAGGAUGUUGAGCGCAUGUCUCUCUCU